CACCAUUUGCCUCACGCAGUGCAACACAUCUCCUUUGCAUAGAGUUGAUCAGGUUGUUGAUUGUGGCCUGUGGAAUGUUGGUCCACUCCUCUUCAAUGGUUUAUCAAAGUUGCUGGAUAUUGAAAGGACGUGGAGCACGCUGUCGUAUACAUGUCCGAUGAGUAUGCUGGCCAUGAAAGAACUGUGAUGUUUUCAGUUUCCAGGAAUUGUGUACAGAUCCUUGCAACAUGGGGCCGUGCAUUAUCAUACUGCAACAUGAGGUGAUGGUCAUGGAUGAAUGGCACAACAAUGGCCCUCAGGAUAUCAUUACGGUAACUUCAAAAUUCAAAAUGCCAUCAAUAAAAUGCACCUGUGUUUGUUGUCCAUUACAUAUGCCUGCCCAUACCAUAAACCCACCGGCCACCAGGGGCGAGUCUAUCCACAACGUUGACAUCAGGAAACCGCUCGCCCACAAGAUGUCAUACACGCUGUCAGCCAUCUGCCCUGUACAGUGAAAACCGGGAUUCAUCCAUGAAGAGAACACUUCUCCAAAGUGCCAGACACCAUCAAAUGUUUGCAUUUGCCCACUCUGGUUGGUUACGACGACAAACUGCAGUCAGGUCGAAACCCUGAUGAGGACGGUUUCCGACAGUUUGUGCAGAAAUUCUUUGGUUAUGCAAACCGAUUGUUGCAGCAGCUGUCCAGGUGGCUGGUCUCAGACGAUCUUGGAGAUGAAGAUGCUGGCUGUGGAGGUCCUGGGCUGGUGUGGUUACAUGUGGUCUGCGGUUGUGAGGCCUGUUGCAUGUACUGCCAAAUUCUCUGAAAAGCCUUUGGAGACGGCUUAUGGUAGAGAAAUGAGCAUUCAAUUCACAGGCAACAGCUCUGGUGGACAUUCCUGCAGUCAGCAUGCCAAUUGCACGCUCCCUCAAAACUUGUGACAUCUGUG